rnacentral:rRNA from 1 species
UACAGAGGGUGCGAGCGUUAAUCGGAGUUACUGGGCGUAAAGGGCGCGUAGGCGGUUAUAUAAGUGAGAUGUGAAAUCCCUGGGCUUAACCUAGGAACUGCAUCUCAUACUGUAUGACUGGAGUAUUGUAGAGGGUAGUGGAAUUUCCGGUGUAGCGGUGAAAUGCGUAGAGAUCGGAAGGAACACCAGUGGCGAAGGCGGCUACCUGGACAAAUACUGACGCUGAGGCGCGAGAGCGUGGGGAGCAAACAGGG